CAUGCAGUCGAGCGGACCGACGGGAGCUUGCUCCCUUAGGUCAGCGGCGGACGGGUGAGUAACACGUGGGUAACCUGCCUGUAAGACUGGGAUAACUCCGGGAAACCGGGGCUAAUACCGGAUGCUUGAUUGAACCGCAUGGUUCAAUCAUAAAAGGUGGCUUUUAGCUACCACUUACAGAUGGACCCGCGGCGCAUUAGCUAGUUGGUGAGGUAACGGCUCACCAAGGCGACGAUGCGUAGCCGACCUGAGAGGGUGAUCGGCCACACUGGGACUGAGACACGGCCCAGACUCCUACGGGAGGCAGCAGUAGGGAAUCUUCCGCAAUGGACGAAAGUCUGACGGAGCAACGCCGCGUGAGUGAUGAAGGUUUUCGGAUCGUAAAACUCUGUUGUUAGGGAAGAACAAGUACCGUUCGAAUAGGGCGGCACCUUGACGGUACCUAACCAGAAAGCCACGGCUAACUACGUGCCAGCAGCCGCGGUAAUACGUAGGUGGCAAGCGUUGUCCGGAAUUAUUGGGCGUAAAGCGCGCGCAGGCGGUUUCUUAAGUCUGAUGUGAAAGCCCCCGGCUCAACCGGGGAGGGUCAUUGGAAACUGGGGAACUUGAGUGCAGAAGAGGAGAGUGGAAUUCCACGUGUAGCGGUGAAAUGCGUAGAGAUGUGGAGGAACACCAGUGGCGAAGGCGACUCUCUGGUCUGUAACUGACGCUGAGGCGCGAAAGCGUGGGGAGCGAACAGGAUUAGAUACCCUGGUAGUCCACGCCGUAAACGAUGAGUGCUAAGUGUUAGAGGGUUUCCGCCCUUUAGUGCUGCAGCAAACGCAU
rnacentral:rRNA from 1 species